rnacentral:tRNA from 1 species
ACAGAAGCCGGGAUAGCUCAG